UGGAUUACUGCAAACAGCGGUAGCAGGGGAACUGAGUUCAACUUCUACAUCAACAGUCAAUGAAAUGUCUUCAUCAGUUGUACCAAGUUCUACAUUCUCGGACAAAGUUUAGAAGUUAGAAAUCAUGUAAUUUAUUUCUUCCAAAUUUGUUUAUAUAUUGCAUAUAUGAUAUAUCAUGUGCUCUACAUAUUUAAAUUGAGCUACAAUGAUUUUAAAAUGUUGAUAAUUCAAGUGAUCUUGAAGCCUACAUGGUUUACAAAGACAAUGACAAAGAUCAUAAUUUCUAAAGAUAUACUAUUUGACUAAAUCAAUAACAGUUGACUAGAAACCCAAUUAAGAUCUGCACAUGAAAGUGAAAGAAGAUGGGGUGAUGAUGGACUAACAGUUUACAUCUUGGAUAAUUUCUUAGCAAUAGUCACAUUCCUUUGAAAACAUUCCUUUUAAGAGUGGAAACCUAAUUUCCACUAUGUAAGAAAGUUUGUACCUUUGGAGUUUGGAGGAUGAGAGCAAUGUUGAAUGCGAAUUGAGUUGAGUGAGGAACAUAUGAGUCCCCAAGCGUUGAACGAACCAAGAUUUGCAAACCAGCAUCGCACCGCCCCAUUCAUCAGGCAGGAAGAUUCAGUUCUUUCCACCAAUAUUGUGUCUGAUUUUUUUUUUUUU
rnacentral:lncRNA from 1 species